CUGCUUUGCACAAUAACGGCUGGCAGCUGGAUUCCCAGUUCAGUUCUUCAAGUGAACUAGUAUUUUGUAGUUUAGUGUGAAGGACAAUAGACCUUUCAGGGUCCCAGAGAGAGCCUAUACUGUAUAAAGAACCAUUGGAGAAUGUCCUCUGGUCUGAAAACAUAUACCAAUUGACUUCUGGGUUGUCCUAGGAGUCUUUAUUAAAUUUAAUUUCUAUUAAAAUGUUUGGGGAGCCAGCUCCUGGGAAUACUAAUCAAUAUUAGUUGAACAGUCCCAUGAUGAAUCUUACAUGCACCUUAUUGAUCUGGAAUGAAGGUAAUUUUCUUUUACCUGACAUCUUGUCUGUCUCCUGGCAAGCUCUCCGUUGACCUCCAUGUGUUCAACCUCACCAGCAUUUUGAGACUCAAGUCAGCAUGAAAGCAGAGAGCAGUCGGGAAGUCACACCGUCCUGAGGAGAAGAUUAAGGCACUGCAGAUAUCGAGAAAGCCACUUGAGGUCACAGUCUGCACAAGAGGGAACAUGUCACCCAGGGGUGGAGGAAGUACAAGGAGGCAUUCAACUGGCACACCAGCCCGAAGGCGACAAGGUGUUGGGUACCGCUCAGAUGACUUCGUCCGAGCAUGCGUGUCCAUCACAUCACAGAAAGCAAAAGCUACAAGCAGAGAACUCCAUGUGUACUUUCAUAAUCCUUUCCAAAGAAAAGCCUGCAGCCUCAGGAGAUCUCGAGGCCACAAUGGAUACCUCGAAGGCUUCAGUGUGUGCAGAGAGAGAGGAGCAUCUACAUGAAAUUUGAGGUGUGUGUAUCUGUGCAUGUUAGUACAGGUGUCAGUGGAGACCAGAAGAGCACACUGGAUCUCUUGGAGCAGGAGUUACAGAUGGUUGUAAACUUUGAAUUCAACUGAAGUCCUUUGGAAAGACAGAGCAUGCUCCUGGCUACCGAGUCAUCUUUCUACCCCUGAGACGAGUGCUUUCGUGAAAACAACUUCUACUGGACAUAAGGCCUCCUCUGUCAGUCCUCAAGAACUUGACCAGAGCUGCACCCGUGUGCCUGUCAUUAGGGAACUUGCUUAGCAGCAGAGGAAUCCUAGUCCUUCACACCUCUGGUGUGAAGUCCUACUGCGCCAAGUGGGCUUCCUAGGAGCAGUUUCUAGCCAAGUCUCCAUAUGCUUGGUGGGCGGGUGUGGAAAGCCGGGUAAGGCUUGGCAGGAGAUCUGCAGAGGGAGCUGUUACAACCCAAACAGUCACUGUGUGCACAAUGCUUCACUCACACGUCUCUUCCAUAUGCCUGGAACCAGUUACUGGAAACUGCAAGACUCUGUGCAACCCCUCAAAAUGACAGAGAAAGUGCCGGGGACUCACGGGACAACUUGGUCUAAUGUUUCCUAGGCAUCCUAAAAGCCACUGAGUAUUUAAAUUAUCAAACAGAGGGAAAUAUACCCAGGUCAGUCCUUCCACUAUUGGACUGAAAUAAAGAGUUUUGGUUGCCCGACUUCCUAGCAUUCAGUACUUGCUCUGGAUGUGACAACUCUCUUUCCUUCUGACGAGUUUCCAGUCCAAGGUCAGAUGCGGUCUGGGAGGAAGCAUUUCUCACAAGCCAAGUGUGAGGACACGUGCUCCGUGCGAGCCACUGCCUUUGGACUCUAUUCUGGACUUUGACUGCUGCGUGGAGUAAGGCUGGAACUAGAGACAUGUCACUGUGCUGACUCACACUGCACAUGCUCCCAGACAGUGAGAGGGAUCCCCACUGAGGAAUGCAAGGCUCAAGCUGAUAGAACCUGGCCACUGGCUCUGCGGUGGAAGAGAAGGUAGCAAGGACAAUCACAGGAGCCCCCCUCCCCAGUUCUUCGGGGUCUGCCUCUCUCUCUCCCCUCCCCGCUGUGGACCACCUCUGUUGCCUGCUGCCAAGGAGCCCUCCUGCCAACCCAGCUUUCUUUGCUCCAUCCUCCAGAGCCCUAGAUUCCUGGGUCUCACCCACAGUAGAUGCUGGGCCAGAUUUUCCCUGCCUCUGUUGACUUCCAUCCCUGGGCACUCUGUGCAGCUACGUGUGAAUGGACGAGUGUAAGAGAGAAGACCCAGGAGGCAAAGAGAGAAAUGAGCGUAUGAAGGGCCGAGUGCUUAGCUGAUGAACACUGAACUUCUGAGACUUAAAAUAUUCCGGAAUGUUCUCCCCUUCAGCUGGACGAUGUUACUACAGGAUCUUUAGACCCUUUGAGAAAAUGAGAAUAUUCCUAUUGUGAACCUAUUGUGUCAUUCGGGUGUUUCUUCCUAAUGCUUAGCAAAGAGAGCAUUAGUUGGAGCGCUGGCUCAGCAACAAGCACAUUGGGUGCUCUUGGAGAAGACCCCAUUCAGUUUCUAGCACCUAUGUGCUGGCUUACAACCAUUUCCAGUCCAGGGGAGUCUGACGCCCUCUCCUGGCUUCUAUGAGAUGCAUAGACAAACAUGGGUAAAACACCCAUGUGCAUAAAGUGAAAUGGAAAGGAAAAAAAACAAAACAAAACAAAAAAAAGACCAGGUAAAAAGGCCUGGGAAGAUGUCAGCAGGUAGAGUUUGCUGAGCCUCAGACUUCUGAUCUCAGAAUCCAUGUAAAACCUGAGCUUGGCAGUGUGUGUAUGUAACCAGCCAACGGCUUACCAGAGACUGGCAGAACUUGGGGGCUUGCUGGCCAAACUGUCUAGCUGAAAUGAUAGUCUCCAAGUUAAUCAAGAGACUUAGUCUUAAAAAUAAGGUGGAGAGUGAGAGACGAUGACACCUGAUGACCUCUGGCCUCCACAUGUGUGUCCAUAGUACAUAGUUUUCAACUUCCUCUUUUGCACCUGAAGCCAUACAAGAGCAUCCCCAGAAUGGAGAGUAAAGGGGCCUGGCAGGACCUGGAGGGGCUUCCUGCCUGCCCAUUCCGCAUCAGCCUGCAUCUGACCCUGUCCCCUGGCUAAGGAGAAGCACCUGUCCCUUCUGGAACAGGCAGCUUUCCAGUGAAAGCUGAAAGAGCUCUGUCAAAAUUAGGCCUGGAAUAGAAAAAAGAUGGGGUUCUGGGAAGAAGAAAGGAAGCUGGCUAACCCGGUUGUGGAGAGCCUUUUGGGGUGCCGCUUGGCAGGGAUCUGACAUUGGCCAAGGACAAGGAAAUGGGCUGCUUGGCAGGAAUCUGACAUUAGGGCAUGGCAAAGAAGUCAGUUCAGCCAGGGACCUGACGUUGGCCAAGGACAAGGAAGUAAGAAUCUGGUUUUAGGGUAGAACAAAGAAGUAGGCUCUGAUAUCUGGAUCAUCCUUAGAAACAGCAUCACUGGAGAGAUCAGGGGACUUGGUGUAUAUUGUCUUGCUUGUUACUUGACUAUUUAUUGUCUCGCUUGAUUCCUCAUUGUACUACUCAACACUUGCAUGUAAUUAAAAUGGUAUAAAAACAGACAGGAAAAAAUUAAACCGGCCUUCAGUCUCAGAAGUGACUGAGGUCAUGCU
ensembl:lincRNA A730036I17Rik RIKEN cDNA A730036I17 gene